rnacentral:rRNA from 1 species
UACGUAGGGUGCAAGCGUUGUCCGGAAUUAUUGGGCGUAAAGAGCUCGUAGGCGGUUCGUCGCGUCGGCUGUGAAAUCCCGAGGCUCAACCUCGGGUCUGCAGUCGAUACGGGCGGACUAGAGUUCGGCAGGGGAGACUGGAAUUCCUGGUGUAGCGGUGAAAUGCGCAGAUAUCAGGAAGAACACCCGUGGCUAAGGCGGCUCUCUAGUACGGUACUGACGCUGAGACGCGAAAGCGUGGGGAGCGAACAGG